UACGGAGAGUGCAAGUAUUAAUCGGAAUUAUUGGGCGUAAAGGGCGCGUAGGCGGAUAUAUAAGUCAGAUGUGAAAUUCCGAAGCUCAACUUCGGAGCUGCAUUUGAAACUAUAAGUCUAGAGGAUUGACGGAGAAAACGGAAUUCCACGUGUAGCGGUGAAAUGCGUAGAUAUGUGGAAGAACACCUGUGGCGAAAGCGGUUUUCUAGUUUAUACCUGACGCUGAGGCGCGAGAGCAAGGGGAGCAAACAGG
rnacentral:rRNA from 1 species